UCCCAGUUCGGAUUGUAGUCUGCAACCCGACUACAUGAAGCCGGAAUCGCUAGUAAUCGCGGAUCAGAAUGCCGCGGUGAAUACGUUCCCGGGUCUUGUACACACCGCCCGUCACACCAUGGGAGUCGGAAAUGCCCGAAGUCUGUGACCCAACCGUAAGGAGGGAGCAGCCGAAGGCAGGUCGGAUGACUGGGGUGAAGUCGUAACAAGGUACC
rnacentral:rRNA from 1 species